CCUGUGUGCAUGAGAAACCUGGACAGAGCAGGUUCCCCUGCAUGCAGCUUCCCAAAGAACUGUAUUUUUUCUGUGCUGGAGGUGAGCUUGAAGAGUCAGUCCAAUCCUGAAACCAAGUAUGUCUAUGAAGCUGCUUUCCUAUGAUCUCUGUGGUCAUUCCCCAAUGCAGAUAUCUGUAGAGGAAGAUUCACCCACCACUUAAUCUCCAUGGGAC
rnacentral:lncRNA from 1 species